UAUAGAAUGGGAAAUCCCCAUUUAUAUCCAGUGAGUGUACGUUUUACUAGGUCGGUUAAUGUAGUCGCUUUAUCUUUUAUUAAACUGCAGGUAAAUUUUAUGACGUUAUAUCGUUAUGUAUUAAUAUGAGAUGGACUUUAAUAUUAAAUGUUUUAUGACACAGACGCAGAUAUUGAGAUAUCACUUACGAAAUGAAUGACACAAAAAGAAAACUCAGUUACAGCGAAUCUGUAUUGUCAUAGCGUUUUUCUUGUACUAUGAAAGUGCAACUUCAAUAAAAUGAGUCGCAAGCAACCAAACAAAAGAAAAAGACUUGAGAUUACAAGAUCACAAGCUUCUGGAAUUUCCGCUUUGUCAAAUAUUACACGAUCUACUGAUGAUGUAAAUGAUAGCGAUAGCAGGUGCUCUGCGACUUCAAACUGUAACUGCAACGGAUUUCUACAUGGCACCCACAAUGACGCCAUUAAUGUAGUACCGCCUCAAAUCAAUUUUGACACACAAACGGUGUCGCAAGAAAACAGACGACAGCGCCGAGUUUCAUGGGGUUUGUGUGAUGAGGACUGAAGAGACCAUUCCCAAAGGCAUUGAACAAUCAGCCAGAUGUCCUGUUUAACAAUAGGUCGAAUGGGCAAGAUCAGCGUGUGGAAAUAUAUGCUAAAAACUACAUCCCUCAUCAAGAUUCUGCCGUUCCAAUUACCUACCGUCGAAGUGAAGUUGAACUUCGCCGACAACUUGCAGAACAACAAGAACAGAUUUCUCAUUUGUUGGAAAGAGACAGAAUAAAUACUCAAAGUUACUUCAAAGGCAAAAACUUCAACAGAGGCGCUCUAUUAGUGUGACGUCAUUACGAGGAUCUCCACAGGAUUGCGUCAUUUCCGUUAACAGAGAUGGAAUUCCAGGGCAUCAUGUGUAUGAAUCAGUUCCGCAGUGUAUCUCAAAGUAACAUACCAUCUGAAGCUAAUACGAAUGUUCGAAAUGAAAGUGUGUUUGUAUUCCCUUCGGCACGUGCUGCCGGAGUAGCCCAGCGGCGUAGCAGGUCUUGCGAUUUUCUUUUGAACGAUGAAGAAGGGGAAUCAUUCAUAUCCCCAGCGAAUAGAAGCCCACUUCAAACUGGAAGUAGCUCAGGCUAUGAACACGUUACAGAACACUCAUCUGAUGCAAGCUUCAGAUGGGAACGGAAACAGGAGAAGAUCAAAAUAAAUCAAACUAUACAAAUGUCAGGAAAUACGACUUUCGUAGGUGGUUUUAUGUUUUGUUGGCGUUCAACAUAAUAAUCAUAUUAAUGAACGUAACUGGAAUACCAUUUUUAUAUGUGACUUUAAAAAGUCCCUGAUCACCACGAAGAGGCUGUAUGCAUCAAAUGCGAGUCACUUAGCAUGUUGUAUAUUGAAAAAUCAGUGUUUAUGAAGAAAGAUGACCAAUGCUGUCUAAACUCUUCACGCCAGCUCUUUGAACUAUUUGCAGAUGUGACAUAUCAAUUAGAGUCUGCUCCAUUGGCACCACAAC
rnacentral:lncRNA from 1 species